rnacentral:rRNA from 1 species
CAGCGCCACGGUAAUACGAAGGGGGCUAGCGUUGCUCGGAAUGACUGGGCGUAAAGGGCGCGUAGGCGGUUUAUACAGUCAGAUGUGAAAUUCCUGGGCUCAACCUGGGGACUGCAUUUGAUACGUAUGGACUUGAGUGGAGAAGAGGGUUGUGGAAUUUCCAGUGUAGAGGUGAAAUUCGUAGAUAUUGGAAAGAACACCGGUGGCGAAGGCGGCAACCUGGUCUUUAACUGACGCUGAGGCGCGAAAGCGUGGGGAGCAAACAGGAUUAGAUACCCCUGUAGUCCCUGUCUCUUAUACA